rnacentral:tRNA from 1 species
GGGGUUGUGGCUCAGCGGUAGAGUGCUCGGCUAGCACAUGUGAGGAGCUGAGUUUGAUCCUCAGCACCACA